rnacentral:lncRNA from 1 species
UUGAUCAGUAUCCACAGCAGCUGGGCAAAAAGAGGAUCCUUGUAACUGGAGGAUACUGCCUCAUCGCAUUUCUUCUUGGAAUCAUAUUCUGCACACAGGGAGGGCCGUACAUGUUUCAGCUGGUGGACUGGUAUAUAUUCUCCCUUGGACCAAUGGUGAUAUGUACACUGGAGUGUGUCGCCGUGGCAUGGAUCUACGGUAAUGGAUGUUG